rnacentral:piRNA from 1 species
AAUGACCUACAAAGCCUAAUUGCA